CGCCAGACUCCUACGGGAGGCAGCAGUGAGGAAUAUUGGUCAAUGGCCGGGAGGCUGAACCAGCCAAGUCGCGUGAGGGAAGACGGCCCUACGGGUUGUAAACCUCUUUUGUCAGGGAGCAAGGUGCAGGUCGGGACCUGCUGUGAGAGUGCCUGAAGAAAAAGCAUCGGCUAACUCCGUGCCAGCAGCCGCGGUAAUACGGAGGAUGCGAGCGUUAUCCGGAUUUAUUGGGUUUAAAGGGUGCGUAGGCGGAGUGUUAAGUCGGGGGUAAAACCGGGGGGCUCACCCCGGGGGAGCCGUUGAAACUGGCUGUCUUGAGAUGUCGAGAGGUAUGCGGAAUGCGCAGUGUAGCGGUGAAAUGCUUAGAUAUUGCGCAGAACUCCGAUUGCGAAGGCAGCAUACCGGCGGCGAUCUGACGCUGAAGCACGAAAGCGUGGGUAUCGAACAGGAUUAGAUACCCCAGUA
rnacentral:rRNA from 1 species